rnacentral:rRNA from 1 species
GAUGAACGCUGGCGGCGGGCCGAACAAAGGCAAGGCGAACGGAGGACAGCCGGAGAGACCGGCGGGGAAAAGAGGGGAAGAGGGAGGGGCGGACGGGGGAGGAAAACGAGGGCAACCGGGCGCAGAGAGGGGGAUAACAGAGAGAAAUUUCUGCUAAUCACGCAUAAGCACACACUGCCGCCUGGCCGAGUGUGAAACGAGACUCGCUAUGAGAUGGACCCGCGUCUGAUUAGCCAGUUGGCAGGGUAAGAGCCUACCCAGGAGACGAUCAGUAGCCGCUCUGAGAGGAUGAACGGCCACAUUGGGACUGAGACACGGCCCAAACUCCUACGGGAGGCCGCAGUGGGGGAUAUUGCACAAUGGGGGGAACCCUGAUGCAGCGACGCCGCGUGAGUGCCGAAGUCUUUCGGUAUGUAAAGCUCUAUCAGCAGGGAAGAUAAUGACAGUACCUGAAUAAGAAGCCCCGGCUAACUACGUG